UCAAGACUCUCGAUUCUUCUAUACUCGCCAAUCAGGUGGCCGGCCACGAACACUAACGAAUCUUCUUGAAGGCUACACGUACAUGUAUGGCCGGCCAUACACAACGAUAUCUCCUCAUCUAUCACACUCGACUAUUACAAAGACCAGUCAUCUCAUUCAUAAUUAUCAGCUAUUAUGUUUUGAGGGGCCCCUCGUUAUUAUAUAGAGCUCUAUUAUUUCAAUAGUCACUCUAUUGUGUUGUGUUGGUGUUGGAGACUAUGGUGCCUGGAAUAGAGUGACUGAACUGAAAAUGGACGACAAAAAACGUUAAAACUGCAAAAUCAAGUGUCUAAGUCUACAAAAUAUCUUUAAGACAAGCUAUCUACUCAAGUCCCCAAGUCAAGUAUCUCCAGCCACUCGAAGAAACAACAUCCUCCUCCUUAAGGACGAGGACACUGGAGGAACAUGCAAGGACUCAUACUGGCACUCCUCACCUGCAUGGAUAGGAGGCUGGAAUGGCAGUUGUAUUUUACUGAGCAUUACAAUUAUGUAGUUACUGAGCAUUAUAAUGACGUUCAUUAUACUGAGCAUUGUGUCCAAUUAGCAUGCUAUAAUGAUGUGUCCUGACCUCUGACCCCAAUCACCUCUUGUCACAAUACAUGUUCUGAGCCGGCCGGAGACCACUAAUGGAACUCUAAUAGAGGAAGCGUCCAGUCUAUACAACGCACUGCUACUACUCAAGUACAAGUCUGCACGAUAUGGAUCAUAUCUCUACGUACUGGCAGAAUUAACAAACUUCCCCAUCCUUAAAGACGAACUACUGUUGGAAUUCCAAGCAAGCAAUGCAGAGCUGAUUAAUUUUAACUCGAAAAAACACACUAUUAGACAUGUACUGAGACUGAGACUGACUCCUUUAGUAUUGAGUCCCACUCCCCCCCAUGCAUGUGUCCCCAUGCAUGCCUCUCUGCCAUGCUCACCAGAUUACAGGAAACAGCAAGCCUAUCUACUAUACUCCUACUGCUAUACUCAAGUCAAGUCUCUAUAUCACUGGAAGGAUUUCAAUACAAACAACGUCCUCCUCCUUAAGGACGAGGACAGUGGACGGACAGCGACUGAUACUGGCACUCCUCACCUGGGUUGUACUGCAAGGGUGGAGUUAUAUCCAGCAUUAUAAUAAUAGGCAUCAUUAUUAUUACUGCAUGAGCAUUACAUUACAUGCUGUGUCCUAACCUCUGCCCUAACAAUGUUAUUAUCAC